rnacentral:tRNA from 1 species
GGGCGGAUAGCUCAGCUGGUUAGAGCGCGGUCCUGAUAAGGCCGAGGCCGAGAGUUCGAAUCUCUCUCCGCCCA